UAUGUGUGUGUAUAGAUAGAUAGCAACUACACAUUCUUUAUUUUCUCUCCUUGUUUCUUUCUGUGUUCCUUUCUGUGGAAGAGCGUAGACCCGAAAUAUUAAAGACCUCUUCACUUCCCGAGCGCUAAACUAAUACGUCUGUUGUCUA